GACGAACGCUGGCGGCGUGCUUAACACAUGCAAGUCGAGCGAUGAAGUUCCUUCGGGCACGGAUUAGCGGCGGACGGGUGAGUAACACGUGGGUAACCUGCCUCAUAGAGGGGAAUAGCCUUCCGAAAGGAAGAUUAAUACCGCAUAAGAGUGUCAUGCCGCAUGGCAUAGCAAUUCAAGGAGCCAUGCGCUCUGUGAGGGCCCCGCGUCCCAUUAGCUGGUUAGUGAGGUAACGGCCUACCAAGGCGACGAUGCGUAGCCCACCUGAGAGGGGGAUCGGAGCCAUUGGGACUAAGAAACGGCCCAGACUGCUGGGGGAGGGCGGCGUGGGGAAUAUUGCACAAUGGGGGAAACCCUGAUGCAGCGACGCCGCGUGAGUGAUGACGGUCGUCGGAUUGUAAAGCUCUGUCUUCAGGGGCGAUGAUGACGGUACCUAAGGAGGAAGCGACGGCUAACUACGUGCCAGCAGCCGCAGUAA
rnacentral:rRNA from 1 species